ACUGCCAAGAUCUAAAUCUCCA
rnacentral:miRNA from 1 species